AAGACCAGUUCGUACGAUCAUCGAAGUUAAGCAACGUCGAGCCUGAUCAGUACCUAGAUGGGUGACCGCUUGGGAAUGCCAGGUACAGU
rnacentral:rRNA from 1 species